rnacentral:rRNA from 1 species
AGUUUCAAUAACGUAUAUUAAAAUUGUUGUAAUUAAAAAACUCGUAGUUGGAUUUGUGAUCUACGCAAGACUUCCGUCCCUCUUGGGUUUCGGUGUUGCCUGGCGUUGCCAUUCUUGGAUAGAAUCUGUGUAGUAUUAGAUUGUCGUGCAGAGAAUGCUUAUCGUUUACUAUAAAAAAAUUAGAGUGUUUAAAACAGAUUUAUACCGUUGAAUAUAUUAGUAUAGAAUAAUAAGAUAGAAUCUUGGUACUAUUUUGUUGAUUUGCGCACCGAGAUAAUGGUUAACAGGAACGGUUAGGAAUAUUCGUAUUCUAUUGUCAGAGAUAAAAUUUUUGGAUUUUUGGAAAACGAACUAUUACGAAAACAUUUAUCAAGAAUAUUUUUAUUA